GACGAACGCUGGCGGCGUGCUUAACACAUGCAAGUCGAACGGAAAGGCCCUGCUUUUGUGGGGUGCUCGAGUGGCGAACGGGUGAGUAACACGUGAGUAACCUGCCCUUGACUUUGGGAUAACUUCAGGAAACUGGGGCUAAUACCGGAUAGGAGCUCCUGCUGCAUGGUGGGGGUUGGAAAGUUUCGGCGGUUGGGGAUGGACUCGCGGCUUAUCAGCUUGUUGGUGGGGUAGUGGCUUACCAAGGCUUUGACGGGUAGCCGGCCUGAGAGGGUGACCGGCAACAUUGGGACUGAGAUGCGGCCCAGACUCCUACGGGAGGCAGCAGUGGGGAAUAUUGCACAAUGGGCGGAAGCCUGAUGCAGCAACGCCGCGUGCGGGAUGACGGCCUUCGGGUUGUAAACCGCUUUCGCCUGUGACGAAGCGUGAGUGACGGUAAUGGGUAAAGAAGCACCGGCUAACUACGG
rnacentral:rRNA from 1 species